GACGUAGGGGGCGAGCGUUGUCCGGAUUUAUUGGGCGUAAAGCGUGCGUAGGCGGCUGCGCAAGUCGGUUGUGAAACCCCGGGGCUCAACCCCGGAACUGCAUCCGAUACUGCGUGGCUAGAGGUAGGUAGGGGAGAUCGGAAUUCCUGGUGUAGCGGUGAAAUGCGCAGAUAUCAGGAGGAACACCGGUGGCGAAGGCGGAUCUCUGGGCCUUACCUGACGCUGAGGAGCGAAAGUGUGGGGAGCGAACAGG
rnacentral:rRNA from 1 species